rnacentral:lncRNA from 1 species
UAGUUAACUACUUUAGGUUAUAAACCAAGAUAAAAUUCUGAAUUGCAGAAGAUAUUAUGCAGAAACAAACAACCAAGGGUCAAAAUUUGAUCAAUGAAACACAUAGAUACAAUCAAAUAUCUCAAUGUGGACUUUAAAUUACUCAGAAACAAAGAUGAAACUAAUCAUCACAACCUUCAAAAACCCAUGGAUACUAAUAAAUUUUGGGACCAAAAGAAAUGAAAAUCAGAGCAUGCUUAUUCGGGGACACUCAUGAAUUUAGAUAUCAAGCAAACUAUUUCGAAGCAGUUCAUCCAAUCUUAAAGCCAAAACAUGUGGUGGACAAGAAAUCACUAACCAGAAAAACCUAACAGAUGAGUAAAUGGGCAUACACGCCUUUACAUAACAAAAUCAAUGAAACAUAAAAGAAACGAAAGGAAG